UACAGAGGGUGCGAGCGUUGUUCGGAAUUAUUGGGCGUAAAGGGCGCGUAGGCGGUGCGGUAAGUCACCUGUGAAAUCUCCUGGCUCAACUGGGAGCUUGCAGGCGAAACUGCCGUGCUGGAGUGUGGGAGAGGUGCGUGGAAUUCCCGGUGUAGUGGUGAAAUGCGUAGAUAUCGGGAGGAACACCAGUGGCGAAGGCGACUUCCUGGCCUGUUCUUGACGCUGAGGCGCGAAAGCUAGGGUAGCAAACGGG
rnacentral:rRNA from 1 species